rnacentral:rRNA from 1 species
UACAGAGGUCUCAAGCGUUGUUCGGAUUCAUUGGGCGUAAAGGGCGCGUAGGUGGCCCGGUCAGUUCGUGGUGAAAGCGCGGGGCUCAACCCUGCGUCGGCCAUGAAUACUGCCGCGGCUGGAGCACUGUAGAGGCAGGCGGAAUUCCGGGUGUAGCGGUGGAAUGCGUAGAGAUCCGGAAGAACACCGGUGGCGAAGGCGGCCUGCUGGGC